rnacentral:rRNA from 1 species
ACUCCUACGGGAGGCAGCAGUGGGGAAUCUUGCGCAAUGGGCGAAAGCCUGACGCAGCGACGCCGCGUGGGGGACGAAGGCCUUCGGGUUGUAAACCCCUGUCGGGCGGAACGAAUCCCCCAAGGACGAAUACUCCUUGGGGUUGACGGUACCGCCGGAGGAAGCCCCGGCUAACUACGUGCCAGCAGCCGCGGUAAU